ensembl:lncRNA
CUUGGUUUCGCCAGAUGUGGAUGAAGAACUGAAAACAGCGCUGUUCUGAUUGGUUUCCAGCGCAGCUCUCAGCAGCCGCAGAGGCGCCCGGGCGUGUUCUGCGCAUGCGCCCUGGGUCUCCGAGGCUUGGCGGACUCGGCCCAGCGCCAGGGUCCGACCUCCGCUCCCUCCCGGAAUUCCUUAUGGUUGCCGGGGUGACGCCUCUUUUUCUUCUCGCCGCUUUCUGUGGAGAGGGGCUCAGGCUGGCCCGCUGGGGCUGCAGCUCGCCGCUUCCUGGGGUGUGCUGGUCGCUUCUCUCGUUGCUGAGACAGAAUGCCCGGCACCAGAGCUGGGCCGAGUUUACUGGGCUCACAGUCGGAGGUUGCGGCCGGGUCCGGCGGGCGCGGAAGCAGCAAGGGGCCUAACGGCGCUCUCUGCCCUGGUGGUCAGGGCGGCGCCGGGCCAGUCGCUCGGACUCUGCUUUUCAUCAUGGCUACAGCAAGUGGUGAGACAAACUGGACGUCUCCGCCGUGUGAGAGGUCAGAGCAAGGGUCAAAGUCAGAAACCCAUCUGCAAACCUCCGGGGUCUCCUGAAGUCGGCCUGAGUGCCUUGCCUUGUUUGUGUCUGUACUGGAAAAGGGCCCUGGAGCCGGAACCCCUCCUUGGGACUCUCCAAGAGGCCGAGCACUGUAUCGAACUCGGGUCCUUGUGCUUGCGCAGCAGGCGGCGAAACCACUGAGCUAAAUCCCCAGCCCUAGCUGCAAUUUUGUAUCCUUUGACCAACUUUUUUUUUUGGUACCAAGAUCGAACUCGGGACUUUGUGCUUGCAAGGCAGGCGGCAGAACCACUGAGCUAAAUCCCUG